GAGUCGUGAUGCCAUCGGCAGGGUGGGGAGCUCAGUGACCUCCCCACGGGAUGGCUGUGCCCAUACUCAUGACCCUCUCACCUGCCACUUAAGCCACAGUCCACCUGACUAAUGCUGUCAAGCCCUUAGCAGUGAGUUAAGUAUCUGAUUAACCUCCAUUGCAGUCCCUGGUUUAGAGAUGAAUCAAUUGAAGCAGAGAGAGAGCAUCACAUGGUUAGUAAAUGGCAGGGUUGGGAUGGAACUCACUUCUGCCAGACUCUAGAGCUCUUCCCUGAUGCAGAAUUGAUGAGGGGCCCUGCGCCAUGGCAGAGCACCUUACAGUCUCUGGGAACUCCAGGCAGCCAGGGCUGUCAUGGUUUACACCCUGACUGAGAAUUCCCAUUCCUGAGCUUGGGAGUAACUAAUGCCCACCCCUCUCCAGCCCUCGGGGUGCUAUUGACACACCAGUGGCCUCAGAGUCAGGACACUGGGUUCCAUGUGGAUUCUGAUGCCACCUUGCUGGGUAACACUGGGGACUAAGACCCUGCUCUAUGCAGGGGAAGAGAAAGAAGAUGGUUUUAUUUUCCCACCUCCAUUGUCUUUUCAUUGAGAGAUCCCUGCAAGGGGGUGUCAUCCACUCAGCAAACACAAGUCAACGACUCAGGGUUGGUACAUGACAAGAAAAGUUGGGAAACACCUUUCUUGAAGGCCUGGACUUAACCCAGAGAGCCCCAAGUGACGGGGCCAGGUGGCCUCCCCUCCAGGACAGCCUGAAGCAAGAGGACACCUCCUUCUUGACACUUCCAAAGGUGAUGCUACUUGAUGGUGAAUUAUGACCUGCAUGUGGGCGUUGCUGUAUGUGGUGGCAGCUUGGGUCUCCAGAUGAACAGAGUGGUAAGACCUCUCAGGCAAGUCCAGCAUGCAGUGCGGCCUGGAGUUGUUACAUAGCUCCAAACCUAUCACCAUGUUCUGUCCUGGGCACAUCCUCCCCCGGGGCCACCCUCUGCCACGGGGCUACUCAGGGGGCCACGCGGGACUCCAGGUUGUCCAUCUGCAUCUGCAACCGCUUCAGGGUGAGGUCACUUUCGCGGGACUUGCGUUUAUAGGCGAUGAGCACAGCCACGAUGAAGAUGAUGAGGAGGCCGCCAGCCACAGCGAUGCUGACGAUGGCAGGCAGGCUGAGCGGGCUGUCAGGCGCGAUAUACACCAUUCCCGGGGAGUAUUCCAUGCCACCAACACGGGCCUGGGGCACAUAGGGCAAGAGGGAGCUGGGUGUGAGGACACAGAAGCUUUGGCAACAGUCCCGAGUCACCCAUGAAUUGGUGACCAGGGCAGGAUGAGGGAAAGGAGAGACCAAUCACUGGUGUUGAAAUAGACAAGAGUGAAUGAGGGGCUGGAAGUGGACAGGCACAGCUCAACAGAGCUCACCGCUACCUGGAAAAACCCCACCUCCUCUUAUUCAGGAGCGAGUUUUGUCAUCUUCAUAAGGAAACAGCACACAACUGGGACCUAAACACAGUCUGCCACCAAUGACUGGUUCCCCUAAGAUUUAUACCCAUUGUAAGGGUGAGGACAACUGAGGCACAGAACAUGAUAUUCAGAUAUCACGGACUUCCUGGGCCAGCAAGGGCCUUAUUCUUGAAGGCUUUCUUGUUUGUGGCAGGUGAUUUAGCAACUGCUUAAUGCUGUUUUGCAUUUUCCUUAUUGUUGCACCAGCCAGCAUGGAAAGAAUGGCAAUACAGAAGGGAGAAGCUCAAAAGUGGACAUGAAGAAGGAACUUGGGGUGCAGGGUAGCUAAAGGGAAGCUCUUGGUGGGCCAGAAUCCCCUCCUGGAAAUCACUGGUGGCUGAGAUGGAGCUGGACUGCUCACAUCCGUACCCCUCCUGCCCGCUCCAACCAGGAUGGGGUUCUGCCAGGCUCACCAUCACUUUGUGCCUGCCAAUGAGGUUGGGGGACUCGCAGAGCAGCUGCACAUCCGACACGGUCACGGUGCACGGCUUCUCCCCAACCAGCACGGUGUAGUUCAGCUUCACAUUGCCCCCAGCCACGGGCGGGAUCAGGUUCUUGCCCUGGACAGACGGGAAAGCCUCAGUUCCCACCCCAGAGUGAGGACCACAGCUACCAGCUGGCUCUCACGUCCUCCCACCUGGAGAUCCCAUCCUGCUGGUGAGCUGGUGAAGAAGCCACCUUUGGCAUUAAGUCCAAAAAAAAAAAAAAUUUGUGGUACGUAUACUACCAUUAACUCUUCCUCCAAGUGGGUAAUCAAUAAUCAAAGCACUCCUUUCAGCUUAUCCCAAAUGCAGCCUCAGAACCCUUCUCAAUGCAGUGUUAGAGUCAGUCACUACCAAUGGAUUCGAAUUGUCAUGAGUUUUAGUUAACUGUGACCCAUGUUCCAAAGGAAGCCUGUGCUGUGGUUUGCACAAGGUUGCCUCAGAGGAAGCAGUGAGCCCCUGACCUUCCAGCACCUGGACUGUCAGAACAAUAAAAGCCUGAGAGUCAAAGAG